GUAAUCUCUUUCCGUGGAAAUUGGAAUGUAUUAGAAUUAGGAAACCUUGGGAGCAAUAGCUAUGAAAUUGAUGUCAUACUUAUAUCAACUCUCUGAAGGCAUAACUAAAUGCAAUCUUACCUUUUUAAUGUUCAUAUGAGAAUGUCCUGACUCCUUGGAAACUAUGCCUGCAAAGCAUCAGUUCACCAAUCAUUAGCAUCUGUGACUGACACUCCACAGAUCUGCAGUUUUAUGAGGCAUAAAGGUUAAUCUUGAACCCUUAGGUAAGUUGAAGAUUCUUCCACUUCGAGAAAAAUCUUGUUGAAAAGAAUCAUGAUGCUACACUUGACCUAGAACACUGAUCUAACCAUCUCUUCGAUUAUGUGACCAAUAGUUUCACUGGGAAAUUAAAAAA